rnacentral:rRNA from 1 species
UACUUAGUGGCGGACGGUGAGUAACGCGUGGGCAACCUGCCCCGUGCCGGGGGAUACCGCCUGGAAACAGGCGCUAAUACCGCAUAAGCGCAUACAGCCGCAUGGCAGUAUGCGGAAAGCUCCGGCGGCACGGGAUGGGCCCGCGCCCGAUUAGCCAGUUGGCGGGGUAACGGCCCACCAAAGCGACGAUCGGUAGCCGGCCUGAGAGGGCGGACGGCCACAUUGGGACUGAGACACGGCCCAAACUCCUACGGAAGGCAGCAG